rnacentral:rRNA from 1 species
UACAGAGGAGCCAAGCGUUGUCCGGAUUGACUGGGCGUAAAGCGCACGCAGGCGGUCGCGCGCGUGGGGUGUGAAAUCUGGCCGCUUAACGGCCAGGCGCCAUCCCAUACGGCGCAACUGGAGGGCUGCAGAGGUCGAUGGAAUUGCCGGUGUAGUGGUGAAAUGCGUAGAGAUGUGGAGGAACACCAGUGGCGAAGGCGGCUUUCUGGUCUGUAACUGACGCUGAGGCGCGAAAGCGUGGGGAGCAAACAGG